rnacentral:rRNA from 1 species
GACGAACGCUGGCGGCGUGCCUAAUACAUGCAAGUAGAACGCUGAAGAGAGGAGCUUGCUCUUCUUGGAUGAGUUGCGAACGGGUGAGUAACGCGUAGGUAACCUGCCUUGUAGCGGGGGAUAACUAUUGGAGACGAUAGCUAAUACCGCAUAACAAUGGAUGACACAUGUCAUUUAUUUGAAAGGGGCAAUUGCUCCACUACAAGAUGGACCUGCGUUGUAUUAGCUAGUAGGUGAGGUAAUGGCUCACCUAGGCGACGAUACAUAGCCGACCUGAGAGGGUGAUCGGCCACACUGGGACUGAGACACGGCCCAGACUCCUACGGGAGGCAGCAGUAGGGAAUCUUCGGCAAUGGGGGCAACCCUGACCGAGCAACGCCGCGUGAGUGAAGAAGGUUUUCGGAUCGUAAAGCUCUGUUGUAAGUCAAGAACGGGUGUGAGAGUGGAAAGUUCACACUGUGACGGCAGCUGACCAGAAAGGGACGGCUAACUACGUG